GUGCUUGCUUCGCCAGCACAUAUACUAAAAUUGGAAUGAUACAGAGAAGAUUUGCAUGGCCCCUGUGCAAGGAUGACAUGCAAAUUCGUGAAGUGUUCCAUAUUUUU
rnacentral:snRNA from 1 species